CACUGACUCCCGCCGCACCAGCCCUGUGGGCUCCCCAGCCCUGUCCAUUGGCCUGUCUGUCACCCUGGGCCACCUUGUCGGAGUGAGCAGUACUAACAUUGGGCUGGGGUGAGGGUGGGGCAGGCACUCAAGGCAAAUAAUGGAGCCCCGGAGCGGAGCCCACUUCAGAUUGAUGAGUCCAGCAGAGUUUAAGGCCUGGAUUCAGGGCUCCUGGACUCUGGCCCUACUGGGCCCCAGAAUUGAUCCCCCAAAACCUCUGGGCUGAGGAAAGAUGGGAGUAAGUAGGAGGUGGGAUGGGACAGGAAUCAAACCCAACCUCAGAGCAGAGAAGAGAGGAGGGUGUAGUUAAGGGUCCAUGGUUAACCGAGCAGCUGGGAUCCUUGGAGGGAGAGGUUGCCAGCCUGAGUUUGAGACCUGGCUGAGCCCCUGGACUGCAGUGUAACCUUGGGAGAGUCCAGGUUCUGUGGGAGUGGACCAGGAUGUUGCCUUUCUCUCCACCGCCCUGUCUCUAUCCAGAUCUACUUCACUGGCUGCUCCAUGAACCCAGCCCGCUCUUUUGGCCCUGCCGUGGUCAUGAAUCGGUUCAGCCCCGCUCACUGGGUUUUCUGGGUAGGGCCCAUCGUGGGGGCGGUCCUGGCUGCCAUCCUCUACUUCUACCUGCUCUUCCCCAACUCCCUGAGCCUGAGUGAGCGUGUGGCCAUCAUCAAAGGCACGUAUGAGCCUGACGAGGACUGGGAGGAGCAGCGGGAAGAGCGGAAGAAGACCAUGGAGCUGACCACCCACUGACCGGUGUCAGGCAGGGGCCAGCCCCUCAGCCCCUGAGC
rnacentral:sRNA from 1 species